rnacentral:rRNA from 1 species
GGACUACAGGGGUUUCUAAUCCUGUUUGCUCCCCACGCUUUCGCGGAUGAGUGUCAGAACUGGCCCAGCGAGCCGCCUUCGCCACCGGUGUUCUUCCUGAUAUCUACGCAUUCCACCGCUACACCAGGAAUUCCGCUCGCCUCUACCAGUCUCUAGCCUUCCAGUAUCCUAUGCACAUCCGGAGUUGAGCUCCGGAAUUUCACAAAGGACUUAAAAGGCCACCUGCCCGCGCUUUACGCCCAGUAAUUCCGAACAACGCUUGCACCCUCCGUCUUACCGCGGCGGCUGGCAC